GUGACGAAGCGACGCCGCGUGAGUGAAGAAGGCCUUAGGGUUGUAAAACUCUGUCAGGAGUUAAGAAAUUCAAGAAAGAUAAUACCUUUUUUGAUUGACAAAAGCUCCAAAGGAAGCCACGGCUAACUCUGUGCCAGCAGCCGCGGUAAUACAGAGGUGGCAAGCGUUGUUCGGAAUUAUUGGGCGUAAAGAGCACGUAGGUGGAUUUGUAAGUCAGAUGUGAAAGCCUUCUGUUCAACGGAAGAACAGCAUCUGAAACUACAAACCUUGAGUGUAGGAGGGGAGAGUGGAACUUCUAGUGGAGCGGUGAAAUGCGUAGAUAUUAGAAGGAACGCCGGCGGCGAAAGCGGCUCUCUGGCCUAUGUCUGACACUGAGUGUGCGAAAGCUAGGGGAGCAAACGGGAUUAGAUACCCCGGUAGUCCUAGCCGUAAACGAU
rnacentral:rRNA from 1 species